AGGGUAUUACGUGCGGUACUUGUCUCCUGCACUGUGCGCAGGGCAGACCAAGCACCAACACGCAACUGAGAAAGUCGGUUGAUCAUUUCUCUAGUUCAAGGUAAAGAAACAGCUAAUUCAAGGUAAGGAAACAGCUAAUUCAAGGUAAGGAAACAGUUAAUUCAAGAUGGGAGAUUAUGAUCAUUUGGAACCUCAGGGACAGAAGGACUAUUCGAUGUCCAGCGCCGGGGCCACGGCUCAGAUGGUGCACCUGUGGUUGAUGGUGGGCGUCAUGGUGAUUGCCGUGCUGAGACACUGGACCAGGACGUGAACCCAGUUACCACAGACUCAACAACAACUGAGGUCCAACAUCAGCCCCUUUGGAGUCUACCUUCGAUGGAAUCACGAUCCUGAAAUAUAUUAAAAAGACCUGAAUGAA
rnacentral:misc_RNA from 1 species